UACGAAGGGGGCGAGCGUUGUUCGGAAUUACUGGGCGUAAAGGGCGCGCAGGCGGCCCUCUUGAAGUCAGAUGUGAAAGCCCCGGGCUCAACCUGGGAAUGGCAUUUGAUACUCGAGGGCUUGAGUACGGGAGGAGGAGAGUGGAAUUCCCAGUGUAGAGGUGAAAUUCGUAGAUAUUGGGAAGAACACCGGUGGCGAAGGCGGCUCUCUGGACCGUAACUGACGCUGAGGCGCGAAAGCGUGGGGAGCAAACAGG
rnacentral:rRNA from 1 species